rnacentral:lncRNA from 7 species
GAUCAAACGUUUGUUGUAAAUGGGACUAGGGAAGGCUGCUGCUUUCUGCUGGCCCACUGGAGAGAUCAGCACAAGCAGGAUGGCCAGAAGAAAAGCAAGCUCAGCGAUAUGCUGGUGAAUAACUGCUCGCUAGUGGGAUGCAUUACCCUGCAGGAUAAAGAAAAGCAUCACCAACGGGAUGGCUGGAUGUGGUCUGGAUGCUCCCAUGGUUUGGGUGCAGUUGUACAGACAGUGCUUUUUCUGUGGUGGGAGCCCUGACAAAGCCAGCACCCUUCUCCAUCUGCUGCUGCAGCUCUCCUCGCAGUGACCACGACUACAGAAAGCACCUGCGCCAGCUAGCUGAAAAGAAGGGUGCCAGUUCUCUGCAUGCGAGCUUUUGCUAAUGCCAGGAGUAUGAGCAAAGUCAAAAGCAGUGCCUUCCUCUGGCUGUGACCAGCUCUUCCUGAGAACCUCUCAUAGGUCAUCAUCCCAUCCACAGCAUAUGCUGAGGAAGAAUAUGGCAACCACAGUUUGAAAGGAUCUUGCUUUUAAAGGGAAAAUAGCACAUCUCUGUAUUCUUCUCCAUUGUACUGGGAGAAGUGGGGAUUUCGGAGCAGGGCGUGAGGAGCGGUUUGACAUGCAGCAGUGAUGGAUGUCGAGAAGAGCUGACUGGUGUCCCUUGACGCCUUCUUUCUGCUUAGAGAGGAAUAAUGGCCACCCAGGACAGCUUCUCAGAGCCAAGCUUUACAUCCCUAAAAUUGGGCACUCCUCUAAAAAAGAGAGAGAGAGAGAAUGAGAAUUAGCCAAAUCUCAAUCUCUGAACCAGGGGCCGGCAGCACCUGCAGGACUACAGGACCUGGAGUACAGAAGGACACCCUGAGCUCUACAUCUCUACUCAGCAAUGCUGAGGCUGUUGCUAAGCGACAGGUGAUGCUUGCUUUAGCCAAAAUUUGGCUCUUAAAGGCCCAGCAAAUCCCCUACUGAUGCAACUGCUGGGUUGCUGGGAACUUUCAGAACAGGACACAGGGCUGCCAAGAGGAUGGCACUGCAGGGCUGUUUGUUGGGAAGGUGGAGAUGCCAGGCACGGCUCCAGGUAACAGAGCAGCCCCGUGGCUUUAGAGCAGCACCUACUGCAAGAGAACUCCUGUGCAGUAUCUGUCACUGUGCUGUUGCUGCUGGGCCCCACGUGUGUGUGGCUUCUGUGACAGGAGCAGCAUCACAGAAUUACAUUACCAAUUCAUUUGCAAAUGCUGGUGGAGAUGUACUCAACAGUCCAAAUGAAAAAGAAAAAAAAGAAAGAAGGAGAGAUGGGUUUCAUCUUCCCACGUGCCUUGUGGCUGGUCCAUCCAGCCCAUUCUGCAUCUGUCAGAAUCAGUGCCCUGGGAGCAGUCAUCAUUUUUAUUAACCAUUAAACAAGAAGUUUCUUUUUAUUUGAAAAUGUAAACCAUGCAUAGAGUACUAUCAAUGGCCUCUAACCCAGCUCACAUUAACCUACGCCUCUGGGAGCUCCCCAAAACCUGACCACAAGCAGGGCUGGGUGCGCCCCGAGGACUUACACCUUGUCUAUGAGUGCCCGAUGUGAAGUCAUCCCCGGGUGCCUUACGGGGCCCUGAGCAAGCCUGAGGGUGGGAGGCUGCCGUGGGGCUGGCAUACAGAACAGACUCUCUGCAUGCUAUUUUUUAGAAUUUAUUUUUAUUGUGCUGCCUUAGUUGCUUCUGUGUGAUACUGCGGAAUAUUUUACUGCUUUGUGGCUCUCAUUCAGAAAGG